rnacentral:rRNA from 1 species
UGAGGGAAAGGCGAAAAGAACCCCGGCGAGGGGAGUGAAAAAGAACCUGAAACCGUGUACGUACAAGCAGUGGGAGCCCCACCACUAAGCCAGUGGUGAACUCCACAUACGCAUCCUUUGCUGAGGAUACGGUUAACGGAGCGAAAGCGACGUUCAACCGCAAAAGAAGCAGAGGGGGCUUAGUGGUGGGGUGACUGCGUACCUUUUGUAUAAUGGGUCAGCGACUUAUAUUCUGUAGCAAGGUUAACCGAAUAGGGGAGCCGGAGGGA